ACGCUCGACACCUACGGGGGGCAGCAGUGGGGAAUAUUGCACAAUGGGGGAAACCCUGAUGCAGCAACGCCGCGUGAAGGAAGACGGUUUUCGGAUUGUAAACUUCUGUUCUUAGUGAAGAUAGUGACGGUAGCUAAGGAGCAAGCCACGGCUAACUACGUCNNNCNCGCGUAGUAUGNGCGGCGNGNGAGAG
rnacentral:rRNA from 1 species